rfam:Triticum aestivum genome assembly, contig: Triticum_aestivum_CS42_TGACv1_scaffold_591904_7BS
AACCUACUCCCUUCGUUCGGAAUUACUUGUCUCGGAAAUGGAUGUAUCUAGAACUAAGAUACAUCUAGAUACAUUCAUUACUGCAACAAGUAAUUCCGAACGGAGGGAGUAGAAA